rnacentral:piRNA from 1 species
CAAGAUUACCCAAUUGGAUCUCCUCAGC